UACAGAGGGUGCAAGCGUUAAUCGGAAUUACUGGGCGUAAAGGGUGCGUAGGUGGUUGAAUAAGUUAGAUGUGAAAGUCCUGGGCUUAACCUGGGGAUUGCAUCUAAUACUGUUUAGCUAGAGUACUGUAGAGGAAGGUGGAAUUUCCGGUGUAGCGGUGAAAUGCGUAGAUAUCGGAAGGAACAUCAGUGGCGAAGGCGACUUUCUGGACAGAUACUGACACUGAGGCACGAAAGCAUGGGGAGCAAACAGG
rnacentral:rRNA from 1 species